AACGUAGGGGGCAAGCGUUGUUCGGAAUUACUGGGCGUAAAGCGCGUGUAGGCGGCUUGGUAAGUCGGAAGUGAAAGCCCUCGGCUCAACCGGGGAACUGCUUUCGAAACUGCCAGGCUUGAAUGCGGGAGGGGAGAGCGGAAUUCCCGGUGUAGCGGUGAAAUGCGUAGAUAUCGGGAAGAACACCGGUGGCGAAGGCGGCUCUCUGGACCGUGAUUGACGCUGAGACGCGAAAGCGUGGGGAGCAAACAGG
rnacentral:rRNA from 1 species